CUUGGACAAGUGCAAGGGGCUGAUUGAGGAGACUGAAUCCUUCACUUACUACCAUGGCAAGAUCCUACGAGAAUGUAUUCAGCUGAAGAAAAAUGUACAGGUGUCAAGACUGAAGAACAGAUUGCUGCGGAAGGAGCAGAUUGAACUGCAAGAGUCCUGUGAGGAGGUGAAGAGGCUCUUUAAGGAGAUCCAUGAGAAGAUCUGUGACCCCUGUGCUGAGCAACAUCAGGAGGAAGACAACAUGGAUGAAAGCCUGAAGAACCUGCAUAAGCAAGAGGAGGUGGUCACCCAGCAAAGGGAACUUGCAGAAAAGCUGCAGAAUCACGUCAAUAUCUCUGAAAUGAGGCCAGAAAAUCUCCAAACCCAGCUGGAACAGGCUACAGACCAGGAAGACAGCCUCCUGCAGACAGCUCCUGAAGCCGGAGCAAUAGGUGUCACAGGCAACUCCUGAGAGACCUGAGGAGCCCAAAGAAGCCACCAACAACUUGAACCAUGGCAAUGUCUCCCCUAGGAUCAAAGCCUCCUCCUCAGAAGACAACCUGCAAAGCCCCAAGGAGGCAUGACUAUCUUGGCUUUGAAAAGGCUUUUUACAAUUGGUGACUGCCUUCCUACCAUGUUUCCAAAGCCAACCACAGCUGCAGAUCUGUGCUACAAAAUGUGUAGAAAGAUUACGUUAGUUCUUUAUUUAAACAGUCUGUUCAGUUGAGUUGUUUU
rnacentral:lncRNA from 1 species